AAUGAAGGGAACAGCAGGAGCGAGAGAACAAAGUCACAGGAUGGUGUGGCUUGACCUUGGUUGAUCAAUGGAACCGAGUGGGGUGGGGGUGAGGGAAAGCGGGGAGUCUCAGGUGACGCCUGCACCUCUACCCAGGAAACAGCUCAGGCCCAGGUUGUUCUCCAGUCUCACUCCGUCCAGCCCUCCCUUGUGGGAAGAAGCUUCUGGUUUCAAUGGCCUGAUAAACUCAUCCGCAGGAGGCCCCAUCCUCGGAGCUAUUAACCCCGGAAACGGUGCCAUUGAACAAAAGCCUCCAAGGAGAGGAGAGCUUAGCCAGAAGGGGAGGCUGGCUAUCUGCUGCAGUGGAAGAGAAAACCACGGAUGGGCUGGAACACCCAGCCUGCUAGGGAUUGAUGGCAUCUCCCAGCAUCCCCCGGGGCAGGUACAGCCUCCUCCUUUGGCUGGACUUGAAAGGAAGACCAAUCCACCUGACUCCUUAGCCCAACACAGCCGGGCUCCCCAUUCUGUCUCCUCCUUGUUCCUCUGCAUCCCCCAGGGCCUGGGGUGACCUGCCCCAACCCCCACCUGUGUGCUUCAAGGCCCCAGUCUUCUUAGGGGUGGAGGGGAGAAAAAUCCUGCUACAGCUCCCUCCCCCUGCCUAGACUUUUGGCUGCCUCCCGAAGCCGGACAAUACAGGGAAAUGUUUGCACCCAAACAACUCCGCUGCUUCAGGAACUGCCUGACCCUGCCCAGGAAAGCAAAAUUCUGCAGCUCCACCCUGCUGCCCCCUCGGUCUGGGGGCCAGAAACCAAAGCUAGCUGGGAGGCCCAGCAGAGAGGUCACCAGAGCAAAAGCGGUCACAGGCAUCCCCGAUGUGGCGAGAGAGAGUUCAGGGGUCACCUCUCUCUAGGGACCAAGUCUUUCCUCCCUGCCCAAGUCAGAAUGGGAGCACUGUCCCCGACCAGAACAUACAAAAGCCAGAUUGUCAAUAUUUAUCUGGAGAGCUGCGGCUCUGGAUUAAUCUGGCCUGAAGAUAAUGCAAAUAGCCCUUUGAUGUGAUUUGAGAAAUGUAUUAAUUCAUUCAACAAGCAUUUGCUGCACUUGAGUUCAGGGUCAAGGCCCAGGCUGGGCACUGGGGAUAUGGGGUGAAUCAGCUCCCACCCUGCCCUGAAGAGGCCCACGGUCCAGGAGGAGAGAGAGACCCAACGUGGAAGAAGAGGGCAGACGGGGGCUGCUCUGCCCCAGCUGAAGUGAAUCCCGAGGAACAGCGUGCCCGUGCCGGCUCAAAUAAGGGCUCGAGGUGCAGGUGUGCAUGAGACCGGCCGGGGGAUCCAUUGCCAGACGCCUUCUCGGCCUUGGCCACCCGACUCGGGAAGCCACAGGGUCAGUUCAGUUUGUAAAAGCGUUGGAUGAAGACUAAACGCCCUCCCAAAGGACCGUCCCCGCCAGUCUGAUUCUCCCCUAAGGCCCAGAGGGCUCAGGUGCAGGACACCAGGUGCCAGCCAACAAAUGCUGAAGGUAAAGCAGACUGAAUGCUCCUGUGUCUUGGCACAGACACACCUGCACGUGCACCCUGCCUCGGGGGGACCUCCAGGUGUUCCUGUGUGCAGACCUUUGGGGCUCAUCAGCUUCCUGUAUCCAGUGGGGGGCCGUCAGUGACCCCAACACAGCAGCCUGCCUUUGAGGAACCCAAGGCUGAGGUGGAAGGAAGGGGAAGAGGCAGGGGCCGGCUGCCGGGGGCAGCUCAGGUCAAGACAGCCAGCCUGCUUGUCACAGCCCCUCACGCCGACCUCGCCCGCGUGCCAGAGGCUGUGUGUUUUUGUCUUUCUCCGGAGGGGGGAGGGGUGCGGCUCAGAGCCUUGAGUGAUGAGUUAAGUGACAAUGAAUUUGCACCACAUGGAGCCGGGGCUUAAGGGGAAAGUGUUUUGGUGAAACACAGCUGGGAUUUCAUCAGCCCCCACCCCCGAGACAGUACAAAAAUAGUCCGGGCCAGGCCGGCUCUGACCCAUAGGCCUGGCCCAAUUUCACGGCCCCCCGUCCUGGAGAGAGGCUUGGAGUGGCCUCUUUCCCUGAAUCUGGGUUUCGUAAUCUUGUUGUUUUGGUCGCCUGUUUGUUGACGGGCCUGGUUUGUCUGGGAGGACCCACUCCCGGACAAGCUCCCUGCUGCCUGGCCCCCACCGAGAGGGAGAGGGUGAGGCAGGAAGACACGCUCUCGUUGUUGGUGACAAGUCCCACCAGGCUAGAGACUAGAAAGACUGCCAGGGUCGCAGCCUGGGGACUGGUUGGGGCACCCACACCUGAGGGGUGCAGGUGGGUGACAGGCACUGGACUCGAAGGCGAGAGGUGGGCUUCACUCCAGCAAGAGCUGGAAGGCCCAUCAACAUCUCAAGUCCAACCCCAGCGCUCGGAGGGGAACACUGAGGCCAGAGGCAGGAAGUGAGGUGUUGGGCUUCAAGGCCUCUACAAGGAGAUGGAAGUUGGCCUCUGGCCAAGACCAGAAUGACCAGACCCUUAUCCUGGCCCCACCUCUCAUCUUGAACGGCCUGGCCUGCUCCUUCCUACCCCCAACCAGGAAAGAUAUGCAGUCCACUUCUCACCCCUCUCCUAUAGGGCAUUGUAUGCCCGCAACUAACCAGCAAGUGUAUCGUCUGCAUCCCUCUUUCUCCAACCAAUCAGCAGCUCAGCAGGUGUAUCGCAAGACCUCUCCUCUCCCUGGGUUGUAAAGACAGACAUAAGGACACUCUCAGCUCAUGUUCGGCUCUUCUUGAUCAUCAGGAAGUCGUCCUGCAGUGCUUGCAGCAUCCUUUAUCUCAAGAAACUUUCUUUCCAUCUCACCAUGCUCAAUAAAGUCUUCUUUUUUUU
rnacentral:lncRNA from 1 species